AAAUAUUUUAGACUUCUGGACUCCUGGAAAGCCUGGAAAGACCUAUCUUGACAAAAAUCUGUUUUUGUGGAAGGAUUUGAGCUGUCUAGAUAAACAACUGCUCGUUGAAGAUUGAAUAGAUCGACAGCACAGAGAUAUCGCUUAUUCUCCCGCCAAAAGCAAGGUGUAUUGAAGGAAAGAAGAAAAAUACCAGUAAAAAUUGACACCAUGAGUAACCAGGCCCAUACUUCCAGACAUCGAAUGCUCAACCGUCGUAUGGAAUUACKGCUACGCCGGAGAUUUYGACCCCGACACCGCUAUCCCGGGAGGACUUACAGACUGAUCAGGAAGCUCGGCAAAAGCCUAAG